UUUGGUUGAUAAUUUUAAAAUUCAUUUUUUUCCGUACAAGAAUGUGUGAAAUUUUACGUGCAAGAAGACACUUCGCGACAGGCAGAUUUUUGAAUCAAAGCAAUAAUUUUGAACACUGCUUCUGCAUUUUCGAGUAUGUGCUUUGAUAAAAAGAUCGCCUGAGAUUAUUUCUUUCUUAGUAAUAUAUUUAAAGUCAAUUAUUCCAUUUGAUCGAGUCUCAGUCUUUUAGAAUUAACGUCUUUUAGAAUUUUGUUCUGAUUUAUUAAAUUAAUAU